CGGGCCUCCUCCCCACUCACCUAACGCCACCUCGCAAGCUUUGCGCAGCUGGGAGUGAUGCGCCUUCUUCACUUCCUUGUCGGCCAAUAUCUUCUCCAGAGCCCGGGUCAGGAACAUGUUCUUCGUCUUCUUCCCCUCAUACAUGGACGCAGAGAAGGAGGCGGCGGCUCGUCCGACCCGCGGCUCCCAGCGGCUGGAGGGGAGGAGGAGGAGAGGAAGGAAGAGAAGAGAGAAAGGAGAGGGGGUGGAGGUGGGGGAGUGGAGGCGUGGAGGGCAGCGGCAGGAUCAGGAAGGGGCGGGCGAGCGGGACCAGCCGCGGUGUCGGCGAAGGGCGUCGAGGUCCUCGCCGCCCCCAAGAAGCCGUACCUCGAGGGCCGCGCCCGUCGGGCCUCCGCUUCUCCCGGCCCGGGGGUCGCGUCCCGGCCGCCCCUCUCACUCGUCCCUCCGGCCCUGGUGGCGGUGAGGGAGCCCGGCCCGGGCGGCUGUCUGCCGGGAACUGAGGGACGAGAUGGCGGCGGCUCUCAGAGUGCACGGAACUGCUGUCCAGGACUGUGCUCUCCGAC
rnacentral:lncRNA from 1 species